GACGAACGCUGGCGGCGUGCCUAAUACAUGCAAGUCGAACGCUUCUUUCCUCCCGAGUGCUUGCACUCAAUUGGAAAGAGGAGUGGCGGACGGGUGAGUAACACGUGGGUAACCUACCCAUCAGAGGGGGAUAACACUUGGAAACAGGUGCUAAUACCGCAUAACAGUUUAUGCCGCACGGCAUAAGAGUGAAAGGCGCUUUCGGGUGUCGCUGAUGGAUGGACCCGCGGUGCAUUAGCUAGUUGGUGAGGUAACGGCUCACCAAGGCCACGAUGCAUAGCCGACCUGAGAGGGUGAUCGGCCACACUGGGACUGAGACACGGCCCAGACUCCUACGGGAGGCAGCAGUAGGGAAUCUUCGGCAAUGGACGAAAGUCUGACCGAGCAACGCCGCGUGAGUGAAGAAGGUUUUCGGAUCGUAAAACUCUGUUGUUAGAGAAGAACAAGGACGUUAGUAACUGAACGUCCCCUGACGGUAUCUAACCAGAAAGCCACGGCUAACUACGUG
rnacentral:rRNA from 1 species